AAGUCGUAACAAGGUCUCCGUUGGUGAACCAGCGGAGGGAUCAUUACUGAGUACUACACUCUCUACCCUUUGUGAACUAUUAUACCUGUUGCUUCGGCGGCGCCCGCAACGGUGCCCGCCGGUCUCAUCAGAAUCUCUGUUUUCGAACCCGACGAUACUUCUGAGUGUUCUUAGCGAACUGUCAAAACUUUUAACAACGGAUCUCUUGGCUCCA
rnacentral:misc_RNA from 1 species